rnacentral:lncRNA from 1 species
CAUGGAAGCAGGUUUUAGCCAUGGUGGUGGGGCUUCAGCAAGUUCUUGUUGGGGUAAAAAUGGAGCAUGGAGUAAACUAAGAGAUGAGCUAUAUUUGGCAAGGAAGGUGGCCUCACUUUGCUUUUGCCAGAUCUAGUUUGCAUCUUAGGUUAGGCCUCUUGUCUUUCUCUCACUUUGGCCUUUGGUCUCUCUCUCUCCUUCCUGUUCCUCACACACGCUGUAAAAGGGUCCACUGUAACUCCUGCUGUUGCAGUUUUACUGAUGGGGGCUUGCUUAUGUCUGUUUGCUUUAAUUUUCAUUUGAUUUGUUCAAGUUUUUGUUUUCUUUUUUAUGAUGAAAGCUCCUUGGUUAUAUUUUGGUUUGCACCUUGUUUGUGAUUUCACUGCUACUCACCGGUGAUCCUUCUUCCAUUAUUCUUUUUUCCAGGAUAAGAGCAUCAUGUUAAUAGCGAACGUAACAAGCUGCACCAUCAAUUUGGACAAGGUACCACUCCCAUGGUUUCUUUAGCCCCCUUUUGUUGGUUAUACUAUCUGGUGCCUCCUUCUGAUGGUGCGAAUUGCAGCUGCUUUUGGUGUCAUUAAGAUGUGUUAUUGGUUGCAUCUGUAUACAAUUUAGUUUUCCUUGCUUUGACAUACAUGUGAUUUGGUCUAUGAGUGAGAAGUUGAUAAAAAUAGAUCUCCAGAUGACUAAUAUGUGUGCUUGGUUAACUGAAGCUGUUCUUCAGUUCUAGAAAAAAAAGUCCAUCUUGCUUGUUGUUGAACACAGACUUGCCAAGAAGAAUCUGAAACGCGUCUAGUAACCUACCUAAGCACAGCCAUAUCAAUUUGCGUGGAGAAAUAGGUGACACGUAGUAUAACCUAAUCUCUUGAAUGAUCUGGUUGAUGUGAUUCAAGGUGAUGCACACUUUAGACAAGUUAACUGUUAGUCUAACAUAUAUGCAUAGACCCAUUUUCCAAGCGAUGGUAAAUCAUUAAAUUGUCAACAUCCUCCUGCUAAGUUUGUUUGUGGUGGCAGUUUUUUCUAGCUAUCUACGUUUUAGUUUUCUGUGAUUCAAUAAAAAAUUAGUUAUUUCUGUGGAUCCAUUGUGUUGAUGUGAUGUAUUAUUUCUCAUUCCUUCAUUUCACUAUGAAAGUUCUUAUUAUUUUAUCUUUUUAGCUACCUUACUCAUAAGCGCAUUAGUUUUUAGCUACCUUGUUACUUCAUGUUGGCCAUAUUUCUAUCUAAUUCAGAUUCACCUUGUUUUUCACAAAUUUCAACCAGCAUAUGUUUCCUUUAUCGUCCCUUUCCCCUAUAUGUCCUCAUAUAAAAGCACAAGAUAGCAUUACAUAUGUGGAAAGCAUAUGUGCGACGUGGCCAAGUUAACAAUUUGUGCAAAUUAUGGCAGAUUCAGCUGUGGUUGGAUUAAAUAAUCUAGUUUACUAAUCUGAGUAUCUUAGUUAUCAUGCUAGAUUCGCCUUGAAAAUUGUCACCCAAUUUCAUGCGGCGAGAUACAUAUCGUAGCGUUUAUUUUACUUGCUUCAAAAAUAGUAAUUCUAAAUCGGUUUGUGGCUUAUUUCAUCUUUGAUCUACCUUUUUUGAAUGCUUCCUGAAGGAAAGAGAUGUAAAAGGGAGAACUUUUAGACUGUGAACCGUAGUCGUCCUUAGGGUCUUACUGGCAAAUUGUGUUUAUAAUUCGACUUGUAGAUAAAUGUGCAUGCUUUCGAACUAUAUAUAAAAGGUGAUUUUCUGUAUUGCAUCCAUUUUAAGUUAUGGAACCACUAAAUUCAGUUGAAGCUUCUUUAGAGUACAUAAUAUUUACUAUUGAGCUGACUCGUAGUUUAUAUCUUGGAAAUCAGAAGUAGAUAACGAAGACUAUCACGAUAGUAAUUUAAUCAGGAAGUAUUUGCUAAUAUGUCGCAUGUUUGAAGAAAUUAUCUGCAUUUUGAGUGUGAAUGAUUGCUCUGAUGUGUUGUCGCUGUGCUAUAUAGCUAGUUCGGGAAAUGUUUAACAAUUCUAGAGAUCAACAAUUGUUGUUUCAAAAGCCACCACGAUAUUGAUGCCUGAAUCGCAGGGUCUAGCAAAUCUCACAUCGAUUGAUGGGCAUUGUCUUAAAAAACUGUUUGUUUUGCAAUCUUAUUCAUAACUACUAUAACUUGUGAAUCUUAUAUAGUUAAUGGCAUUCCUCAAAUUUUCCCUUAUUGAGUUCAUUCUCUUCACAGAACAUUCUUGAGCAUGUGUAUAUAACUAACCAGACAAUACUGUUCUCUCACCUUUAAAUGAUACUCCCUCCGUAUCAAAUUAUAAGUCGUUUUUUGACACUGUUAUAGUGUCAAAAAAUGUCUUAUAUUUUGAUUGAGGUAGUACUUAAUUAAAAAUGAAAUCUUGUCACUCUCUCUGGUGCCUUUUCCAAUAUUAGAUACUCUUAUUACAUAAUCUAUGUGUUGUUCAAAAUAUGCCUUAUAAAAAUGGCAUACAUUUAGAGAGGUGUAUAAUUGUACAUAUAGAAAGAGAAUAUACGCAUGUUCAACUAUUGUAACUAACCUUACAUAAGCCAUCCAACAUGGGAAAUGCAUGUCGUUGCACUCAUGUUCUCUUCCAUUUCUUCCAUUAUGUUUACGAAUAAAUAUUUUCGUUGUGUGUACAGUAUUUUCUUAUUUUUAAACAAAGGCAGAAGUUUGCUAUAUUUCACUGAUUAAGGAGAAGAAAAAUAAAGUUAUGUACAAACAAGGCUGUAGCAGAAGCGCUGGACUACUCUCCCAGCCUUCUAUGAAUUGGGCAUAGUACGCAGAGGAUGCGUAGCAGGAAUUUUCUGUAAGCUUCCAAAUGUCCUCACCUUUGUUUGUAGCUCAACAGGGAGAAAGUCUCUUCCAAAGGGUGAAGAACUUAUAGAUGUGGAGUAUUCACCUAAUUCAAGUUUAGGGAAUAUUAGUUCAAAUAGAUAGAUAAAAGGCAAUAACUGUGAGAAACUAGAUAUCUAUUAUGUUAAGGAAAAUAGGGUUGUCCUACUAUAAUUACAAGAGAGUAAGUAAACAACUUGUAAUGCUAGAUGAUACGCUACGUGUUUGCCACGGAAUUGGAUAUAUAGUUUCCAAAUAUUGUGUAGAAUACUUGCGUGUUUGCCACGGAAUUGGAUAUAUAGUUUCCAAAUAUUGUGUAGAAUACUAAUUUGGUUCUUAAGUUUUAAACUACUUGAGAACAUUUUGCAUAAGAAAAAGAAAAUGUUAACAUGAAAAGUUGUGCACGUCACAAUUAAAGUCAAUGUGAUUUAAAAUUCACUUAGAAUGCACUAAUGCAUGUUCGUGGUAGAGGAUUUUCAUGCAUAAUCAUAUGGAUGCUAGUGGAUCAAGCUGGUAAAUCUAACGGCUACAACAACUUUGAUGAUGUGGGAUGUCGAAGCAUGCAUGAUGAGAUAAUUAGAAAUAGUGAGGAUCAGCUCUUAGGUAUAUACUCCCUCCGUCCCAAACUAAGUGUCUUGACCUUAGUACAACUUUGUAUUAACUUUAGUACGAAAUUGAGACACUUAUUUUGGGACGGAGAAAGUAUAUGAUUAGGGGUAUUCAUUCCUGUGUUGGAACGGACAAUGCCAAAACCAGGCAGAUAUACCCUAGUUUGAAUUUCCUCUUUGCCAGUGAUGAGGCUAGCUUUCAUAGGUUGGUGAAAACCGUAUUUGAACACCCUGUUAAUUGUGAACACAUGAAUGAAUAAGAUAAUAAAAAAGAUACACAAAGCUCAUUUCAUUUGUAGUGGAAUAUUAUUAAUGAAUAUCCGUUUCUGAGGCCAGGCUCAUCUGCAUCCAGUGAAGAGAAAAUCCACAAAAAAUAAUAAAAAAAUGUAACAAGCUAAGUCACAUGCGGAAUGAAAGGGAAAACAAAGAAAGCUUGCAUCGGCCGGGGCAGCUUUACAUCAGUAAAUGAAGUUCUUAUAAUGAAUCUUACAUGUAACUUUACCAUACACUCAGUGGCAAGAUGGCUCCUUGGAACCCCUAUUGCAGCUAAUUAUAUGUCAAUGUACUAUCUCUAAAGAAUUCUGGCCCAUAGAAGAAAUCUGAUAUAGUUUGCAGCAAAUAGCAAAUAGUUUUAGCUACUUUUGUUUGAAUUUUAUACUCAUAUCUCCCUAUGAUUAUAUUCAAGUAUACUGUGUGUACAAGUUUUUUGAAGAUGAACUAGCUAGUAAUAAAAGACCUGUGCAUCAUGCAUCCACUCUCCAGCCAUUUUCAUGAUAUAUGGUAUUAGUCGUAACUAUGGUUAGAAUAAUUCCUCCAUUUUUAUUUAGUUUUGGAUUUAUGUCGAGUGGGGAAUGUGUAUGGCUUUGUAUAAGCCAUUGAAAUCAACUCCUGGUCUGUUUUGUUCAAUGCAUAUGUAUUUGAAAACCACUAACUCUGGGAGGCAACUGGUGUAACUUAUCAGGAAAAUUCUAAACGUAUGCAUUUAGUUUUAUGGUAUAUCAUAUAAUGAAGGUUCUGAAAAAAAAGGUGUACCAACAGAAGCAGAAAUAAUAAUAAUGAGGUUCCUUUCGAAUCAGAUUUUCUUCGGGGUGCAGUUUCUUCUUCAGUGUGCAUUGCAGAUCGAAUACACACUAGAGAGUAAUUAAAUCAUAAAUCCAUUUCUGUUAUAUUCCUGGGGAUUUUAUUAGAUCCAUUACAUCACUUUGCCGAGGUUGGGAGCAUAUCAGUAGCACCAAAUUACGGCAGCAUGCAGCGCGACACAUUUUCCUCUUGUGCUCUUGAUAUUUCAGUGAAGCCACAGACAGCCUCUUUUUUUCUUUGAUUGUGUCGAUCCUUGGUAGCCUUUGUGACAACGGGACCUGGCGUGAACUGUUAAGCCAUGGUCGACACGUUCAAAAAAAGAGAAUCAGAUCAUCAUGUUCCAAUGCUGGCGGAAAGAAGGACAUGACAGUACGAUUGCCUCACCUGCAACACUUGAUGGGAGGCAUCACGCCUACUGUCGUAGCCUUGCUGCAUGCUGCAGGUUUGUCCUGCCUCUAGGCGUGCGCUGUCGAUCCCACCAUGCAUGCAUAUGGUGCCGCCGUGUCGUGCAUGUAUGCACUGACAUGCACUUGUGUUCAUGAUGAUAAUCUUAGCUGGGAAAUACACUCGGCAGGAAGAGAGUAUACACGUACAGCUAAUUGGUAUAAGAGUAUAUGUUGAACAAUCUUAGAAGCUGCCUCAUCAGCAUUUUUAGUGAUGGGGUUAUUUCUUGUUUGAACGUGUUGAGGUUUGAUUUUAUGCGUCAGCAGGAAGAGUCCUUCACACACGGUUUGUACGGACUACGGAGGUAUAAUAACAGCAUGCAAAACUAUCAUAUUCCAAAAUGUUGUAAUUUUGAUGCAACUUUGAAACGAUUUUGCAUGUUUUGUUAUAGUUUUCUUUGUACGGUGUUAAUUGUUGGGUACUGAAAAAAUUCUUACGGUCUUCCUCAACCCAUACGGAUUCUAUAAAAAAGGUAGCAUGAUAGCAAAACUCCUCCAACGAAGUGCUAGUCAACUUCCACAUGCAAAACAUAUACUCUCUCCUUUCCGGUUUAUAGGACUCAUCUUAAAAAGUUUGUUUUUCCGUUUUAUAAGUCUCAAUUCUAUUACUUACCAUCACAUGUUUAGAUUUCAAGUUGUAUUAACUCACUGCAUGCAAGGAUGAAGAAAAAACUCACCAAUGCAUGUAGAAGUUCUUGGUCAUUAAGUGGUCAUGCAUGCAUGUGGAGUGAUUAAUGCAUCGGUAUACAUAAAUUUUUAAGAAAAAGAGAGUACUAAUUAAGUACGUUUACAAACUACGGAAUUAAUUUCACCAUCCAUCAUUUACCUUGAUUGAAGAGAUUUUUAAAUUAAGCCCGGAAAGGAGGGAGUACAUAGCUUAAUUAAUGAUGUUGUAGCAAAAAAUUUAAAUUAAGCCCGGAAAGGAGGGAGUACAUAGCUUAAUUAAUGAUAUUGUAGCAAACUGUCCAUGCAGUUUGAAGUUAUGGCUCAGUUAACGAUGCAACGAUUAUAUCACAGGCGAUGCUUGAUUCUUCAUCAGAUUGAAAGCACUUCGUUGGCUGAAUGACUAAUCUGUGUGUUGAAUGAAACUGACUUCAUAGGUAUGCAUACACAAGAUCAGAGAGGGAGUUAGUAGAGAAAGCGCAUAAACAAGAUCACGACCAACAACAAGCAGAAGUUGGCCAAAACAGCAUCACUCUCCGAACGAGACUCCAAAGAGGGCACGCUUGUAUGCUCUGCUGCCAAGUGCCAACUUGAUCGGGUUUUUGUACCCGCUGAGUCAGACAAGGUGAACAACUAGGUGGUGGUAGAAGAACAUCGACCAGGGAAAAUAUUUGGCAUGCAUCACUGAAGUUGCUCUGUAGCGGUGUACUGUUCCAGGCAACACGGCGCUACUACACAAAGUUGGCAGUUUGCCACAUACAAGAACUGUCCAGCAACAUAUCACUUAAUCAAAUGAAUUACAAUUCACAUGACGGCGAACUGCAUUGUUACUUUGUGCAGAAGCCCAUCAAAGUUUCGACAUAAACACGGGCGCCGUUGAAUUUUGAGGCGGCGAACUCCCUCUACUAGCAAGCCCCUGCAACGAAAAAUUGAUGACGCAGUGAGGACCUCGAUGUGUGCCAUACAUCUUCAGAAACGGCACAUCAGGAAUGCGUGUUUGAUCAAAUUAGUAGCAGGUCAAAUGCAUCUUGCGGAUGAUGAUGGCCCUUUAUCAUUCUGCUAAUGAUACGAGUGUCAAUGCUAUCAUGCAUGUGCUUGUUCUAUUUUGAUCCUCCCUCCUUUCUGAAGAAACCUUUUUUUUUCGAACUCCUCUAGAAGUAACUUGAGAUGUUCGAAAUGCAAGGUCUGAUAGGAUCGCGCUGUAUGUUGAGAUGGUUUUAUAUGAUGCUAUGGUUUGUAUGUACCUUGUUGCCAGAAGCCUUCUGAAUGAAUCCCUUCUCUUGCAGGGAUUUCACCGCUUCAUAGAGGUAUUCUUGCACAGGGGUGAACUUCAUGCCAAGGUCCUUCAGAGGCUGGUUGGUGUACUUGUAACCCUUCUUUGGCGGAUUUACCUCGUCCUUACAUCUGUACAGGUUAGUGAAGGAUUAGACUGUCACUGUCCGAAGAUGCCCACCUAAUUAAGUCAUUGUUUAGCUAGUCUGUUGUGAGAAGCUUUAAAAGUUGAGGAUGGAAUCUCAACCCAGUCCACUUUGUCUUUAAGGCGAAGCAAAGCCAUCGCUUUCGUUUUACGAAAGUUACAGGUAACUACCAACAACUUGUGGUCUAUCAAGGGAACAAUUGCAAGCAAGAUUGUGUAAAAACAUUAGCACAUUCGUGGAAUGAUUCUAUCAACGGCACAAUUGCAAGCAAGAUUGUGUAAAAACAUUAGCACAUUCGUGGAAAGAUUCUAUCAACGGAGCAAUUGCAAGCAAGAUUGUGUAAAAACAUUAGCACAGUCAUGGAAAGAUCUAUUCUUAAUUCAGUGCUACGAAUGAAGAAUAGUACUCUACUUGCUAUUUUAAUUUGGAAG